rnacentral:rRNA from 1 species
UGCAAGUCGAGCGGGGUUUUCGGACCUAGCGGCGGACGGGUGAGUAAUGCGUAGGAAGCUACCCGAUAGAGGGGGAUACCAGUUGGAAACGACUGUUAAUACCGCAUAAUGUCUACGGACCAAAGUGUGGGACCUUCGGGCCACAUGCUAUCGGAUGCGCCUACGUGGGAUUAGCUAGUUGGUGGGGUAAUGGCUCACCAAGGCGACGAUCCCUAGCUGGUUUGAGAGGAUGAUCAGCCACACUGGAACUGAGACACGGUCCAGACUCCUACGGGAGGCAGCAGUGGGGAAUAUUGGACAAUGGGCGCAAGCCUGAUCCAGCCAUGCCGCGUGUGUGAAGAAGGCCUUCGGGUUGUAAAGCACUUUCAGCGAGGAGGAAGGGAGUUGUGUUAAUAGCACAGCUUCUUGACGUUACUCGCAGAAGAAGCACCGGCUAACUCUGUGCCAGCAGCCGCGGUAAUACAGAGGGUGCAAGCGUUAAUCGGAAUUACUGGGCGUAAAGCGCACGUAG